AAUAAAUGCGACCAUGAGUUUCCAUGUUCAAUUUUGAUCAUCGUCUUAUUUAAAUUUUUUUAUGAUUAAUAUUUUUAUUGUUAUAAGAUUAUAAAAUAUGAACAAUAUUUUAUGCGUGACUUAUGUUUUUUAGUUUUUUUAAAAAAAUAAAUAAGAUGAACGAUCAAAAGUUGAACACGAAAAUUUAUGAUUACGCUUAUU
rfam:Oryza glaberrima chromosome 7 Oglab07_0012_28, whole genome shotgun sequence.